rnacentral:rRNA from 1 species
UCGCGAAUUUUUCACAAUGGGCGCAAGCCUGAUGGAGCCAUGCCGUGUGCGGGAUGAAGGCCCUCUGGGUUGUAAACCGCUGUCGAGUGGGGGGAACCGCGUCCGGUGAAUAGUCGGACGUCUGACUGCCCGCUGAAGGAAGCCCCGGCAAAACAUGUGCCAGCAGCCGCGGUAAUACAUGUGGGGCAAGCGUUGUUCGGAAUUACUGGGCAUAAAGGGUGCGUAGGCGGUAUGAUAAGUCAGUGGUGAAAUCCCGCGGCCCAACCGUGGAACUGCCAUUGAUACUGUCGUGCUUGAGUGCGUGAGGGGUGACUGGAACGGGUGGUGUAGCGGUGAAAUGCGUAGAUAUCACCCGGAACACCAAAGGCGAAGGCAGGUCACUGGCACGCAACUGACGCUG